UCCGUACCGCCAUAUUUGUUUUCGUUCCUUGCAGAGAUAGAGAGAGGAAACCGUCAUAGGUUUUCUGCGAAAUUCCUUCCAACGGCUAGUUUUUUGGCCCUUCAAGACUACGCAUACGCGAGAGCAGAGAGGCUAGUGUUUGCUUCUUUGGAGUCGAAGCAGAAACAAGUCCAGAAUUUCUUCUCGAUUUUCCUUCACGCUCUAUGUUCAAUAAUAAUGCCGCGCCGUAACGGUAAUGGUUUCGCACACAUUGACGAGUAUUUUUAUGACGAAAAUAUGGAAAUCGCGUUAGAACAGUACCUAGCGGAGCAAGAGCCAAGCAGUUCUGGUUCCGAGUCCGAAUCAGAAGAGGAAGAAGGGGAGGAGGAGGAGGACGAAGAAGAAGAAGAAGUGGUAGAGUACGUUCCGGUUGAAAACUCAGCUAGGGUUUUGCACCCAGACCAUCCGGUGAGUAAUUUGAGCGAGGAAUCACGAGAGAAGCGGAGAAGAUUAGAUGGAGGAGGAGAUACGUGUUUGUCCAAUAGAGCCGAGGGCGGGGAGUGCUCUUCUCAAGAGUGGAAUCGAACCGAAAUUGAAGGGUUGUUUUGCCCGAUUUGCAUGGAAGCUUGGACCAGUGAAGGUGACCAUCACAUUUGUUGUCUUCCCUGUGGGCACCUUUAUGGUUUAUCGUGCAUCAAAAAAUGGUUACAACAAAGUCGAAUCUCAAGGAAGUGCCCUCAAUGCAAUAGGAAAUGUACAUUGAAUGAUGUUAGAAAGCUUUAUGCACCACGGAUUGCUGUUGUUGAUGAAGAGUCACAAAAGAGAAUAAAAUUUCUGGAGGCAAAAUGUGCUUCUCUUGAAAAGAAGGGUGCUGAUUGGCUUAAGAAAGAAGCUGAAUGGCAAAAGAAAGAAGCUGAAUUGCAGCUGAAAGUUAACCAGUUGAGAGAGAGAGCGACUUCUUUGGAGCAUUUUUCACGAGAUGCGCAGAGCAGGCAAUCUGGACUAGUAGCUGCUAAUGGUGGCUGUCAAGGACCAUAUGUAUCUGGAGGCUCAAAGUUCGGCCAACAAGGAUAUUCUUCUAGAUUUCUGUUACAGAGAGAGUUGCGGGUUGAUGGUGCUCGUUUGGUUGAUAUAGAUCCUUUGAGACAAAUAUUAUUAAUUGCGCGGAGGCAGACUGGGGUUGGUGGAACAUAUGUACUUACCAAAAUGAGCUUAAUACCUCCCCAUGAAAGUGAAGAUAUUGUACUUCCUUCUUGUACAAAAACCAUUAAGGACCUGAGGCUUUCUCCUUCUAGAAACGGGCUCGCACUUUAUGCUUCGUUGGGGAAGAAAUUAUCUGUUCUCAGCCUCGAAAGCAACAACGUUGCUCUUGCCUAUGAUCUGCCGGCUGCUGCUUGGUCAUGUUCAUGGGAUCUCAACAGUUCACAUUAUAUGUAUGCUGGACUACAGAAUGGCAUGCUUUUGGUGUUUGAUAUGCGCCAAACAGCAAGGCCUGUAGAAUCCAGAAGCGGUCUUUCUUCCAACCCCAUCCAUACCAUACAUUCUCUUAUGAAUAAUUCAGAAGAAGCUUGUAGUGAUGGCAUCAGAACUGUGUUAUCUGCUUCAUCCGUUGGCGUGUGCCAGUGGGACUUUGAUGGUGUUGAUGACAGGCCAUUUCUGGUUCCUGAUUUGAACAGUCAAGGAAUUUGCAUCUCUCUUGCCUGUUCUCCCAGCAGCAGCGACAUUGUUGCUUCAUAUCGUCCAAGAAUUGAACUGUCUGAUGAGAUGACUGUUUCUCAACCUUUACUCACACCUCUUACUAGUGGGCAAGGUAUACCAGGUUCUCAUGUUCAUUUGAAGAGAGCUGGUCGUAACUGUUAUCACAAAUUGGGUAUUGCGUGUGCCAAUGUAAAUAAUAUUCGACUGCCCAAAUCUACAAUCAUAGGCAUGGAGAAAACAAAUUCUUUGUUAGCAUCUGAGGAUGAUGUUACUGGGGAAUUAAUCUUGCAAGAGUUGCCAUCUUUUACAGUUUUUCAGCGCUUUAAACUACCCAAGCAUCCUAUUCAUGAUGUGAAGUACACGCAAGUGCUCAACCAAGGUUUACUGGGCUGCAUAAGCGAGGACACAUUGCAACUUUUCAGAUAUUGAUAUGUCAUGAGAAUAUAUGGCUUUCUAUUUACUGGCUAGUCUGGCUUACUACUUGGGAAAAUUUCAAUUACUGGAUUGAGUAUUAUUGUUUGGAGUGUGCACCAGAUGAGGUUAUCAAGCAAACUUGAAUUUGUUUCUACCUUUAAAGCAGCUCUAUUAUUUCUUAGAAAAAUGGCCAGCUAUUUUUAAAUGAUGACACAUCAAAAUUUUGAUCCUUUGCCCCUCUUUUUGGCAGGUGCUGUAUAGUUUGGGGACAUGUUUUUGCUGGUUAGUUGGCGUGUUAAUAGGCAAGACAGAGGAGCACUUGUAAGCUUCAGUUGCUCUCUCACAUAUCAAAGGCAAAGGUAGCUGCUAAUAUUAUACUUGAGCUGCAGCAUGUUGUCAUGUGUAGCAGUCCUUUUGAAUGUAAAUUAUUAUGCUGAUUGAUCAUCUUAAGGGACGAUACGGAGUGUUUUAAAGGUGAUCCGUACGUUUCAAA